AACGAACGCUGGCGGCAGGCCUAACACAUGCAAGUCGAACGCCCUAGCAAUAGGGAGUGGCAGACGGGUGAGUAACACGUGGGAACCUUCCCUGUAGUACGGAAUAGCCCAGGGAAACUUGGAGUAAUACCGUAUACGCCCGAAAGGGGAAAGAUUUAUCGCUAUAGGAUGGGCCCGCGUAGGAUUAGCUAGUUGGUGAGGUAAUGGCUCACCAAGGCGACGAUCCUUAGCUGGUUUGAGAGAACGACCAGCCACACUGGGACUGAGACACGGCCCAGACUCCUACGGGAGGCAGCAGUGGGGAAUAUUGGACAAUGGGCGCAAGCCUGAUCCAGCCAUGCCGCGUGAGUGAUGAAGGCCUUAGGGUUGUAAAGCUCUUUUGGCGGGACGAUAAUGACGGUACCCGCAGAAUAAGUCCCGGCUAACUUCGUGCCA
rnacentral:rRNA from 1 species